rnacentral:rRNA from 1 species
UACGUAGGGGCCUAGCGUUGUCCGGAAUCAUUGGGCGUAAAGAGCUCGUAGGCGGUUCGGCAAGUCACGUGUGAAAUCUCCACGCUUAACGUGGAGGCGCCACGUGAAACUGCCGUGACUCGAGUCCGGUAGGGGAGUGUGGAAUUCCCGGUGUAGCGGUGAAAUGCGCAGAUAUCAGGAGGAACACCAAUGGCGAAGGCAGCACUCUGGGACGUGACUGACGCUGAGACGCGAAAGCGUGGGGAGCAAACAGG